CGCCCGCGGCCUACGGGAGGCAGCAGUGGGGAAUAUUGCACAAUGGGCGCAAGCCUGAUGCAGCCAUGCCGCGUGUAUGAAGAAGGCCUUCGGGUUGUAAAGUACUUUCAGCGGGGAGGAAGGGAGUAAAGUUAAUACCUUUGCUCAUUGACGUUACCCGCAGAAGAAGCACCGGCUAACUCCGUGCCAGCAGCCGCGGUAAU
rnacentral:rRNA from 1 species